CCGCCCGUCACACCAUGAAAGCUGAUUGCGCCAGACGUCCCAUUAGCUAACUUUAUUGAAGCGUGGGCCCAAGGCUCGAUCGGUGAUUGGGGUG
rnacentral:rRNA from 1 species